UAACCUAAACCCCCCAAAAUACCAUUAAUUUUCAUGAACCCCUAAUUUAUAAUGAAUGACUCCAUAUUUAUAUGGAAGACACCAUGCUAGGAUUAGUAACAAGAAUUUAUAAUUCUCCAAAAUGCAAAUAUAAACCAACAUGGAUAGACCAUUGGUAGUUACCGAACCUAAAUUUACUGCAAUAACACCCACAAGAAAACUCUGCAGUACUUACUCGUUAACCUAACACCAGCGCAUUACAGGAAAGAUUAAAAAAAAGAGAAGGAAUUCGGCAAAUGACGGCCCCGCCUGUUUACCAAAAACAUCGCCUCUUGACUUAUAAUAAGAGGUCCAGCCUGCCCAGUGAAUUUUAAACGGCCGCGGUAUCCUAACCGCGCGAAGGUAGCAUAAUCACUUGUUCUUUAAAUGGGGACUCGUAUCAACGGCAUCACGAGGGUUUUACUGUCUCCUCUUUUUGAUCAGUGAAAUUGAUCUUCCCGUGAAGAAGCGGGGAUAUUUUUAUAAGACGAGAAGACCCCAUGGAGCUUUAAACCAAAUAACAACUUAACUACUUAUCCCACAAUAAAUUUAAGCCCUGUUAUAAGGUUUUUGGUUGGGGUGACCGCGGAGUAAAGCACAUCCUCCACGACGGAAAGAACAUAAUCUUUAUUUAAGAACCACACUUCUAGAAAUUAGUAUACUAACGUUUACUGACCCGACAAUCGAUCAACGGACCAAGUUACCCUGGGGAUAACAGCGCAAUCUACUUCAAGAGCUCAUAUCGACAAGUAGGCUUACGACCUCGAUGUUGGAUCAGGGUAUCCCGGUGGUGCAGCCGCUACCGAAGGUUCGUUUGUUCAACGAUUAAAACCCUACGUG
rnacentral:rRNA from 1 species